AACACAACCAACUAAUAGCCUAACACACAGCUGUCUGUGCGGGUCGCUACAAUAUAUACCUAAAUAGAUGUGUCUAGUCUAUGAGACAGUAAACUGUACUUGGAAAACAUUUAUUUGUCACACUUAACAUAGUCAUACAUACCUUUGCUGCCAUGUUUGCAUUGACAUACUGCAGUGUGGUAGCAGACCUUUAUGCACCUUUGAACCUGGUUGACUCAGAUUCCUUGAUUUGAUAUGUCGGUUGCCAAGGAAAACUCAGCGGAAUUAAAAACGUUCAACUUCUUCGUUCAGCUUCUUCGGUGGCAUUUGCCCCUUAAAUAGAUUCCCCCCAUUGUGAAACCACUUCCUCCACCUAUAUUUUCAGUACAAUCAUAGACUUAUUGCCAUCAACAGAGAGAAAGGCUCUGAGGGACAGUGCCACAGAGGGGAUGAAGUCGAGUUGCCAUGUGCUUCCUCUUUGGGACUAUGACCCUGCAGCCUUCAGAGUGGCCCCCACUUCCCUGACCUCAGUCCCAAUGAUGCUGAUGCCUAAAAUAAUCGAGGGCUUCUCCUGUUAACCCCUAUGCACCCUCCCUAAAAUCCCCCUCCUCGACCGCCUCAAGACAGACCCCAGAUGCAUCCCUUCUCUCCCUACCUUUAGCUUCAAUGAUUUCCUGCGGGACCCUAAUGGCGGCAGUGGGCACCAGUUGCUGGAGGGCCUGAAGAAAGUGGCCCUGUCUCGCUGCAACUAGAGGAAGUUGGUUGGGUUCUUCCUAAUGUAACUGCACCAAGGGCAGCGGGCUGAAGUGUCCAAGCAGCUGAAGUGUCCAAGUCCACUGAGAAAGUGCUAGAGGCAAAGACCAGAAUCCCACAGAGGCAGAUCAUAUGUGAAACACACUGUAUAUAAUAUGUUAAAAGAUGACCUGCCAUUGUAGUAGGCUAGAGUCCAGAUUGUAUUAUUAAGUGAGUAUUGUAUGACAAGGAUGCUUGCUUUUGUAAGUUACAGUGGUGUACUGUUUCUUCAUGCGUAUUGUGUGUGUGUUAGUAUUUGUUGUGUUAUCUGAUUAAAACUGACAGCAUUGAUCCAUAUAGAGGUGCAGGCUCAGAUGAUGUGUCGGCUGAGCUGUCAGGGAGAUGAGACCUGCAGGUCUGAGCAGAGGUCUGUAGAGAUCUGGGUACCACCAGGGGAAAGACAAUAUGUUCAGAAGCAGGAAAACGUAUACCCCCAGGCAAGAACAUGUUUGCCUUCUCACUUACUAUACCAUAACCAACACUACAUAAACAGCCCUCUUAAAACACACCUUUUUAUUGGUGCCUUUCCUUAUCGUGCUUUUCAGUCGUUCAGUUUUGAUUUGUUAUUGUUUUGUUUUUUUCAUCUUAUGUUUGUUAUAUUGUAAAUAUUUCAGUUUUUAUUUUCCUGUGUAGCACAUUGCGUUGCAUUCCUUGUCUGAAAUGUGCUGUAUAAAUAAAGCUUGAUUUGAUUAGUU